UACGGAGGGGGCUAGCGUUGUUCGGAAUUACUGGGCGUAAAGCGCACGUAGGCGGCUUUGUAAGUUAGAGGUGAAAGCCCGGGGCUCAACUCCGGAAUUGCCUUUAAGACUGCAUCGCUAGAAUUGUGGAGAGGUAAGUGGAAUUCCGAGUGUAGAGGUGAAAUUCGUAGAUAUUCGGAAGAACACCAGUGGCGAAGGCGACUUACUGGACACAUAUUGACGCUGAGACGCGAAAGCGUGGGGAGCGAACCGG
rnacentral:rRNA from 1 species